rnacentral:misc_RNA from 1 species
GAUGAAGAACGCAGCGAAAUGAGAUAAGUAAUGUGAAUUGCAGAAUUCAGUGAAUCAUCGAAUCUUUGAACGCACAUUGCGCCCGCCAGCAUUCUGGCGGGCAUGCCUGUUCGAGCGUCAUUUCAACCCUCGAGCCCCCCCGGGGGCCUCGGUGUUGGGGGACGGCACACCAGCCGCCCCCGAAAUGCAGUGGCGACCCCGCCGCAGCCUCCCCUGCGUAGUAGCACACACCUCGCACCGGAGCGCGGAGGCGGUCACGCCGUAAAACGCCCAACUUUCUUAGAGUUGACCUCGGAUCAGGAAGGAAUACCCGCUGAACUUAAGCAUAUCAAUAAGCGGAGGA